UCUUUGCUAGUAUAUCGGUUAGUACACGCGCUUGUCAUGUGUAUGCGCGCGAAAGCUGGGUUCGACUCCCAGGCAGAGAG